GCUUUCUAACUUCUUUUUGCAACUUCCAUAGUGUGUAAAUCACACUGAGCCCCAAGCUUCCUCGGACAAUCAGCUGGGAGUAAAACUUGGACAUUUUUAACAGGGAAAGUAUGUAUAUAGCUGGGCUGGAAAGAGCAGCAAUAAAGAUUGGUCCAAGAAACGUUCUUGGGACAACUCCAGGAAAUUCAUGGUGGUCAUACUUAUCCAAGUCCAGUUGGUGGUACACAACAUCAUGGAUAGCCUGUAGGUUAAAGCUUUCUUCCACUUUUGUAAAUGGGCAGACAGUUAAAUGAACAAAGGCCACAACAAUAAUCAACAACAAUAAUGGGAAUGACCGUCCACUUGAGCUCCUCUUCUGAGCCAUCUUGUGUACAAAAUUUGUGUAUGUUCACCUGGGCAGCGCCGCCAGCCGCGCAUGGGUCGGGGACCCGCAGCCGCUCCGCUCCUCUGGGCGCCCCUCCUUGCUCCCAGCGUCAGCUAUGGAUGCAACAGUGCCGCAGCGACCGAGUUUUACACCUCUACCCUCAGCGCCGCGCCCUGUCGCGCUUUGUCCCGUCCCGCCUCACGCUCACCCCCCACCCCCCGGGUCUCCACGUGGCCGCCCCGCAGAGGGCGCCGGCAGGACGGGACGAG
rnacentral:lncRNA from 1 species